UUACGGCUAUAACCGGUUGCAACACCGGUCCUCGUACGGGUACCGAUGUUAAGCAACGUUGAACGUGGUUAGUAUCUAGAUGGGUGACCGUUUGGGAAUACCAGGAGCUGUAAG